CUGGUUGAAAAGGCUCGCGGAUCCGGCCUUGUCGGCCCUUAAAGCGCUCCUUGGGCGGCCUGGCCUCGGCUCCCCUCCCGAGCCGCGCAAAGGAAGCUGCUUCUGGCUCUCGUCGGCUCCCCAGGUUUGCUUUCUUUCUCUUCCCGAAGGUGGGCCCUGGGGUCCGCCGCCGCGAAGCCUGCGGCUGCCGGGAAACCCAAACCCGAGUGUCCGAAGACUAACCGGAAGUGCGGUCCUAGGCGGAGGGGCGGUGCCUGCGGCCGCCGGGGAGAGGGAAGCAUUGAGUAUUGUGAAUACUUACAGACUAGAGACUUUUUGAAGCCAAAGGAAGGCCAUCUUCAAUCUUUGUUAAUGAAUGCUGUCUUCCUUGAGAAAUCAAAUUCUUAGGACCAGGAGGUAAAUGCUGCUUUCUUUCCAGUUAGAUUCUAG
rnacentral:lncRNA from 1 species